AUGGUCUCCAUGGCCGCCGCAGCAGACGACGACCACGACCGCCGCCGCAUCGCCAACCUCUCGCCGUCUCCCUCGGACGCCCCGGCUCCCGCGCAGCCGCACCGCAGGCGGCUCCACAGCUUCUCCUUCCCCACGCUCAGCUGGGGCACCCACCGCCUCCUCCGGUGCUCCAAGGACCCCGCCUCGGCGCCUCCGCCUCCGCCUCCGCACACCCCGUCCCCGGACAAGGAGAUGGCCCGCCGCUCCACGGAUGGCGGUGCCGGAGGCGGUUCGCCCCAGCGCCCCCCUCAGCGGCCCUGGAACCUCCGCACCCGCCGCUCGGCCACUGCCGCGCCCGGUGCGGUCGGGCCGGAGGCCGCGGCCGAUGCUGCGGCGGAGCAUGCGCCAGCGCGGCCUGCGCAGAAGCGGGGGUUUUCCAUCGUGCUGUCCAAGGAGGAGAUCGCCCAGGACUUUGCCUUCUUCCGCGGCACGCGACCCCCGCGCCGGCCCAAGAAGCGCUCUCGCCCGAUGCAGCGCCAGCUCGACGUAAGGAUCGGACCUGCGUUUGUAAUUCUCAAGUUUUCGGUGUUUGAAUUUGGCGUCUUAUUGGAGUUUUUUUUGUUCUUGUUGGAAUUGCAGUCGCUGUGCCCUGGAUUGUCCCUAGUGGAUUUGACGCCGGACUCGUACAAGAUCGAGGAGAGGUGA
rnacentral:rRNA from 1 species